rnacentral:misc_RNA from 1 species
AAGUCGUAACAAGGUAACCGUAGGUGAACCUGCGGUUGGAUCAUUAACAAAAUUGACUCCACCAGUCUCUUUGGAGAUUGGUAGAGUAAACACCAAUUUGUCAACUGUUACGAUAGUCUUUGACUAUCAUUUUUCACUAGAUUUUUAUAUUGUAUUAAACUUGAGUUGUAAAACUUUUUAAAUAAUAUUAAACAACUUUUGGCAACGGAUCUCUAGGCUCUU